GCAAACUUGAUGGCGACCGGCGCACGGGUGAGUAACGCGUAUCCAACCUCCCCCUUAGUAGAGGAUAGCCCGGCGAAAGUCGGAUUAAUACUCUAUGUUGUAUUUUGAGGACAUCUGACGAAUACCAAAGAUUCAUCGCUAAGGGAUGGGGAUGCGUCUGAUUAGCUUGUUGGCGGGGUAACGGCCCACCAAGGCGACGAUCAGUAGGGGUUCUGAGAGGAAGGUCCCCCACAUUGGUACUGAGACACGGACCAAACUCCUACGGGAGGCAGCAGUGAGGAAUAUUGGUCAAUGGGCGAGAGCCUGAACCAGCCAAGUAGCGUGCAAGGGAAGACUGCCCUAUGGGUUGUAAACUGCUUUUAUCAGGGAAUAAAGUUCGGCACGUGUGCUGUUUUGUAUGUACCUGAUGAAUAAGGACCGGCUAAUUCCGUGCCAGCAGCGGC
rnacentral:rRNA from 1 species